rnacentral:rRNA from 1 species
AUUGAGCGCUGGCGGCAGGCCUAACACAUGCAAGUCGAGCGGAUGAAGGGAGCUUGCUCCUGGAUUCAGCGGCGGACGGGUGAGUAAUGCCUAGGAAUCUGCCUGGUAGUGGGGGAUAACGUCCGGAAACGGGCGCUAAUACCGCAUACGUCCUGAGGGAGAAAGUGGGGGAUCUUCGGACCUCACGCUAUCAGAUGAGCCUAGGUCGGAUUAGCUAGUUGGUGGGGUAAAGGCCUACCAAGGCGACGAUCCGUAACUGGUCUGAGGGGAUGAUCGGUCACACUGGAACUGAGACACGGUCCAGACUCCUACGGGAGGCAGCAGUGGGGAAUAUUGGUCAAUGGGCGAAAGCCUGAUCCAGCCAUGCCGCGUGUGUGAAUAAGGUCUUCGGAUUGUAAAGCACUUUAAGUUGGGAGGAAGGGCAGUAAGUUAAUACCUUGCUGUUUUGACGUUACCAACAGAAUAAGCACCGGCUAACUUCGUG